UACGUAGGGUGCAAGCGUUGUCCGGAAUUAUUGGGCGUAAAGAGCUCGUAGGCGGUCUGUCGCGUCGGCUGUGAAAUCCCGGAGCUCAACUCCGGUCUGCAGUCGAUACGGGCAAACUGGAGUACUGCAGGGGAGACUGGAAUUCCUGGUGUAGCGGUGAAAUGCGCAGAUAUCAGGAGGAACACCGGUGGCGAAGGCGGGUCUCUGGGCAGUAACUGACGCUGGAGGAGCGAAAGCGUGGGGAGCGAACAGG
rnacentral:rRNA from 1 species